rnacentral:tRNA from 1 species
GGAGAGGUAUCGAAGUGGUCAUAACGGGACUGACUCGAAAUCAGUUGUACCGCAAGGUACCGUGGGUUCGAAUCCCACCCUCUCCGCCA